GUACCAGCAGUAUGAUUUACAAUCAUAAAAAUUCUUAGUAUACUUGAAAUGAGGGCUAAUGCAACCAAUUUAUAAGGUAAUUGUUGUUUCUUCUAAACAACAUUAAAGUCAUGAGUAAAGAAGAGCUCUGAAUCCACAGUGUUCUUCUCUAUGUGAAGCGCUGAACUGUGAUUAGAAAUCUUGUCCAACCUUCUCAGGAGUCGCAGAACAUCAAUGUCACAUGACAUUAAGAACCUUGUGGGACCGAGGCAGCUGCAGUCAUUAAAGGCCAGAAGCUGCAGCUGCUCUGCUGCCGCUGCACCAGCUGGAAACCACCUCAGCGACAAACUCUUUAAUGAGACGAGAGCUUCUCCAACAUGUUUGACAUAAAAAUCAUGUUCUCCGAAGCCAAAAAGCUAAAAAAAUAUAUAUAUAAAUGGUUCUUAAAUAAAAAAAUAACUGCCAAUUUCGGACAUGAAAGCAAAUUAUUCAUGCUUUUAUUUUAUUAUGGCGCACUUCGAUUAGUUAAUGUCCUUAGUACUCCACUUUUAGGCCGGCAGGUGAAACGGAAGCUAAAUAAACUCACCCACUAACUUAGAUGUUUUUCAAAGCUUUAAAAGUUUAGAGAAAGCGAACAAAAAAGAUUCAUAAUAAUAAAGUAGCAGUCACCUUUUUCCCCUCAACACUGUAGAUUUACAUCAUGGGGUUUAAUUGUCAAAUCAACUGCAGACAUGUUGGUUUUUCAGCUGCAGCAAAGAUGUUUACCAUAGCAACAGCUGCCAAGUCCAGCGGUUACCAUAGCAUUUGCAGCAAUUUGCAGUAACGAAAGUAGACGAAAGUGCCCUGAGGCGAAGAACAUGUAAUCUACAGAUGACUGGAUAAGGAAAAGGAAAAAGGAGCGCUUGUGUGUAUGCAAGACGAACAACUAAAUGGGCUCCGAAACUCCAACAAUGCCAUCAUAAGUCAGAGUCCAGACCCUGUCACAAACGAUGGAUGGCAGGCAGCUGAGUGGAAACACCUGAGCGUACCUCCGAAAUAACAAUGUGGUCCUUUCAGAACCUCGCCGGGCCUUUGUGAUGCUGCAGCUGGAGGAUUUACAUAUCUAUAAGGGAGAUCCAUAAACGGAGUGAAGCAAGAGUAUAUGGCGCUUUCAAAGACAUUGUUGCAUAUUAAUUAACAGAGCAGAAGUGCUUGCCUAAGUAUUGUAUUUUUAUGCAGUCCUGGAGAGGAACUGCUCCCUUCAGAGUAAUAAAUAAUUGAUGCUCUAAUGUGUAAACGCAAGAUUAAGCCGAACUCCACAUGGAAAAGCCGUAAAACUACAGGACCUAAAAACCCAUUUUCUUCAUCGGCUUAUAUACCGUGAGAAAUAUAGCACCACAUUCAUGCACUGUUGUUGCAAAAAGCAUAGGAUUUCUCUGGAGAAAUUUCUGCGUUCGCCUUUUAUUUUGCAAUUUGUGGAGAACUCAUGAAAGCAAAUUGACCAAUCUGAUGCAAAACUCUGUGCGGAUCUCUGAAAUGUUGCUAAGGAAACCGCCGCCUCACGGCUCUGACACAAAUCCAGACUUUUUUUUUUCUUUUUUGUGGUUGCUCAUCUGCAUUGUAGAACGUAGAAAAUGACAUUUUAAACAAAAAUUAGAAUGUGACCCAUCUUAACAGACUGACAAAGAAACCGGAGUAAAUUUCAAAGUCCUUCAGAGCGGAGUAAUAAGCCAGUCCUAGAAAGAAUGAGGCCUUGGCAAACAUUAUUGGAGCUCGAGGUUAUGCAAAAAAAAAAAAA